GAGGAAGUAAAAGUCGUAACAAGGUCUCCGUUGGUGAACCAGCGGAGGGAUCAUUAUAGAGUUUUCUAAACUCCCAACCCAUGUGAACUUACCUUUUGUUGCCUCGGCAGAAGUUAUAGGUCUUCUUAUAGCUGCUGCCGGUGGACCAUUAAACUCUUGUUAUUUUAUGUAAUCUGAGCGUCUUAUUUUAAUAAGUCAAAACUUUCAACAACGGAUCUCUUGGUUCUGGCAUCGAUGAAGAACGCAGCGAAAUGCGAUAAGUAAUGUGAAUUGCAGAAUUCAGUGAAUCAUCGAAUCUUUGAACGCACAUUGCGCCCAUUAGUAUUCUAGUGGGCAUGCCUGUUCGAGCGUCAUUUCAACCCUUAAGCCUAGCUUAGUGUUGGGAAUCUACUUCUCUUAGGAGUUGUAGUUCCUGAAAUACAACGGCGGAUUUAUAGUAUCCUCUGAGCGUAGUAAUUUUUUUCUCGCUUUUGUUAGGUGCUAUAACUCCCAGCCGCUAAACCCCCAAUUUUUUGUGGUUGACCUCGGAUCAGGUAGGAAUACCCGCUGAACUUAAGCAUAUCAAUAAGCGGAGGAA
rnacentral:rRNA from 1 species